rnacentral:tRNA from 2 species
CGCGGGAUGGAGCAGUCUGGUAGCUCGUCGGGCUCAUAACCCGAAGGUCGUGGGUUCAAAUCCAGCUCCCGCAA